GUACCAUGAUAAGGAAACCAGGAUCUGAUGAUGGGAUCCCAGAGAAAUCGAGGGAAACUCCUGAAAAUCCGCAAUAACUUUUUACUGGGUGUACCAAAUUUGAUAAUUUUUAAUUUAAUCGAAAGCUGAUGUUUAUCAUGUGGUCACAUAUAAAUUUUAUCGAGAUCUGAUUACUAAUUUUUGAGUAAUCUUUGAUAACGCGUAGUUACUUGACUAUUUUUUCUUCGAUCUACGUUGUAUUACUCGUCGAUGUAAUUGAAGUCGGUUUUUUUUCGUUUGCGAGCAAACACAAUUAUCUUUAUAUGUUAUAGUCCAUUUUACCUCCAAACAUGUGUAAUUUUCCGACACUUCCCAUACAAUCCCACAACAUGACUAAACCACCACCGUAUUUCACAGUCGGAAUCAUUAUUUGGAUUCAGUUUACAAUUUUUCUUUCGCUACACUACGCCUCCCAUUUGAACCAAAAAUAAUAAAUUUACUUUAACCGAUAAUAUGAUACUGUUCCAAAAAUACUAUCUUCAUGUAGGUACAUAUUUUUUAGCAAAUUCGAGUAGUUUUCCGCGAUUUCUCUAUAUAUUCGCGAUUAGUCUUGUUGACGAAAAACUUUUCCUCAUGAUCCGGCCGCAAGAUAUUUCGAAUCGUUCCAAUUGAAACUUGUUUAUUUCGAUCUUGCAUUGUCACAGUAUUCUAGGUUUUUAUUUACUACGGGCAUGAAAAAUCUUGCAUAUGUCUUCUGUUCAAAUUAUCAACUGUUUUCUUCGCGCCAAAUCUAUCAAUAAUUGAUUGUAUACUUGAACGGGCUAAUUAUAAUACUUUUGACCUCUGUUGUUUUUUUCGCUUUCCGACCCAUUUUCGACACGUAAAGAACAUCGACUAAAGUAUAAAAUUUUCAGCACUAGACAUAAAGGGAAGGACAAACUGGAAGAUGUAAAUAAAUUCCAGAAUGACACAUGAUUUGCUACGUCAUGUGCUUAGUUCUUUUUUUAAGUUUUAAGAUUUACACGGGUGCAAAAUAAAACACAACUAUACAUGGUCGCUGUUCAACCAGAGAGUUUAUUUCCCCAGAGACUUAUUCUAUAGACAAGACCCCCAUAGACUAUAUAUUAUAUAAACUAUAAUCACUACACCUACAACACCCCUCCCCCCUAAGCUUUCACUAACAAUUUGCUUUAAAGUUUAAUUAAAAUUUAUUUAGACACCUUACAAAUUAAGACGCUGCACUGGCCUACGCAUACGCCCACUCCUUUUAACUUCAGUCUGAAUACCAAUUGGAGAUUUAGGAAUACUAACUGAAUCUUUCUUAUUAUUAUUAAAAGCAUUUGAACUAUUAGUCGAAUUAUUAGAAGUCUCCAAUUCGCCCUCAGAUGCUGCACUUAUACUAACCUCAUUACCAGGAAUGUCAUUCUCUAUCAUAUCUUGAGUGUUAUUAGACUCGUCUUGAUCGGCACGUGAAUUUCUAGGCAAACAUUGAGUGACAUUUCUGGUAAGUAUACCUCUAUCAGUAUUUACAUCAUACAUUACAUUUCCAACCGGUCGGUCAAUAAUACCUUCUAACCAUUUCCUUGACUUAUCAUAAGAUGCUACAAGUACUUUAUCACCAGGUAAAUAUUGUUUAACUGGCUUAUUACAAACAGACCGGCGAGGAAUAGUUACAUCUUUCUUAAUUAAAGAUAAACGCGUACGCAAUGGCCUGCCCAACAUCAACUCACAAGGUGCUCUACCUGUGGUAGCAUGUGGAGCCGAACGAUAAGCCAACAACCACUGCUGAACACUAUGAUUCAAGUCCUUGUUAUUAAAUGUCUGUGCCAGCAUGGCCUUUUUAAAUGUUUGCACUCCCCUCUCCGCUAAGCCAUUGCUCGCUGGAUGAUAAGGAGCAGUACAAAUAUGUCUGAUAUUAUUAUUCUUACAAAAUGUAAUGAACUCAGCCGAUGUCCACUGUGGACCAUUAUCGGUAACAAACUGCUCAGGAAGGCCAAAUCUAGCGAACAUACUGCGUAGACAUUUUAUAGUGGCACUCGAGGUAGUCAAUUUCAUUUUGGCUACUUCAGGCCAUUUCGAGUGUGCAUCCAUAACAAUUAACCACAUAUGUCCCCUAAAUGGACCAGCAAAAUCUGCAUGAAGACGUUUCCAUGGCUCAUUAGGCCAUUCCCAGUUAUGUAAAUGUUUUAAGGGUGGUAAAUUCCUGUUUUGGAUGCAUCCUUCACAAUUACUUGUAAUAUCCUUAAUGUCAUUACUAAUGUUGGGCCACCAAAAACAACUAUUUGCUAAAGCUUGCAUUUUAUUAAUGCCCAAAUGACCAGCAUGUAAUUCUAUCAGAACUUUAGAUUUCAAACUAUUAGGUAUUACAAUUCUAUCUCUCCAAAUAAUACAAUCUUUAAUCAAAUAUAGCUCUCUCUCUUUUCCUUUAUAAUUAAGCAAUUCCUUAUCAAUAAUUUUUGGCCAACCUUCCCUCAAAUAUGUAAAAACUUUACUUAACACAGGAUCUCUUUGAGUAUGCUUAGCUACAUCAGUUAAUGUUACUGGCGGGUUAUCCAAAACAAUGCUGUUGAUGUUGCCCUCCAAAUAACUUUUAUCAUCUUCACUACUAUUUUUAAUCGGUAACCUAGAAGGGAAAUCAGCUGCAGCAUUAUUUUGAGAUGUCCUAUAUUUAAUUAUAUAAUUAUAAUUAGACAAAAUUAGGGACCAUCUUGUCAUUCUAUCAGCAUAAAUACUACUAGCAGUUUUGCUUGGAUUAAAUAUUGAUAUGAGAGGUUUAUGGUCUGUUACAAGAGUGAAAGUCCUCCCUUUUAAAUAUAAAUCAAAUUUCUUUACAGCCCAUAUAAUGGCCAAAGCCUCUUUAUCAAUUUGAGAAUAUUUUGUUUCUGCAUCAUUGAGCGUUCUGCUUGCAAAUGCAAUAGGACGUUCACACACUGCAUUACCUAUCUUAAUUUCAUGAGCUAAACAAGCUCCUAAACCAUACCUUGAAGCGUCACAACUCAAUAUCACCGGCAACUCAGGGUUAUAAUGAACUAAUACUUGGUCUGAUGCAAUAGCUUUCUUGGCCCAUUCAUAUGCUUCUACUUGUUCUUUUCCCCACUCCCAUUUUCCAGAAUUUUUAAGUAACUGGUACAAUGGUUUUAAAUUAUCUGCUGCAUUCUUUAAAAACUUAUGAUAAAAAUUAAUAGUACCAAGAAAACUUCGCAAUUCCUUUACAUUGUUAGGUUGUGGUGCCUCCAAGAUAGCCCUAACAUGCUCAGGUGUUUUGUGAACUCCCUCUUUGUCAAUAACAUGUCCACAAUAUUCUAAUUGUGAAGACAUUAGCACUGUUUUAUCUUUAUUGAUCUUAAUAUUCAAUAUUCUUAGUUUAUUAAAAAUACACUCUAAUGUUUUUAAGUGACUCUUUAUAUCGCAUGAUGCAACUAAUAUAUCAUCAAUAAAACAAUACACGUUUGGCAUAUUAAAAUGUUUAUCCAUAAAAUCUUGCCAUUCUUGAGGAGCUGAUGCCAUUCCAAACAUCAUGAAAGUUGGCCGAUACAACCCCCACGGUGUAGUCAAUGUCAUCAGCUUUUGUGCCUCACCAUCCAUUCUCCUAUUCAUGUAUGCUUUUCUCAAAUCUAUUUUACUAAAUACUGUCUUAAUAUUAUUAUCAUCUUUAUUUAAUUUAGCAAAAAUAUCCUCUAUUACCGGGAUUGGAUGAUGUGGCAUCUCAAGAUAAGGGUUAAUAGUCACCUUAUAGUCACCACAAAUUCUUAUAUUCUUAGGCCCUUUUAUGAUACUAACAAUAGGCGUCGCCCAUGUCACCACCUCAGAUUUAUCAACCUUACACAUUUUACCCUCUUUACAUAAUUUAUCUAGUUCCCCUUUUACCAGAUUUUCUAACGCAUAAGGAACACGCCUAGGCUUACAAGACAUAGGAGUUACAUUUUCUUUUAAUUUUAAAGUACCUACUGCACCUUUAAUUUCCCCAGGGACCCCUGAAAAUAUGUCCCUAUACUUAUCCACUAACUUUUUAAUUUCAGAUUUCUCCCUUUCAAUAUUAUUACACUGCUUCUUACAACGAUUCCAAUCAAUUUUUAUUACACUGAGCCAAUCUCUACCUAACAAAGGUUUCUUACCUUCUUUCACAAUAAUUAAUGGAGCCAAAUAAUCUUUAUUUUUAUUUUUAACUAAUACUUGAGUUUUACCGAUCACUGUUAUAUAUUGACCUCCAUAACCAGUUAUUUUUGAAAAACAAUUUGAUACUUUUACAUUUGGCAGUAGUGAUUUAUAUA
rnacentral:misc_RNA from 1 species